GCGUUGUUCGGAUUUACUGGGCGUACAGGGAGCGUAGGCGGUUCGGUAAGCCCUCUGUGAAAUCUCCAGGCUUAACCUGGAACAGUCGGAGGGGACUGCUGGGCUAGAGGACGGGAGAGGAGCGCGGAAUUCCCGGUGUAGCGGUGAAAUGCGUAGAGAUCGGGAGGAAGGCCGGUGGCGAAGGCGGCGCUCUGGAACGUUUCUGACGCUGAGGCUCGAAAGCGUG
rnacentral:rRNA from 1 species